rnacentral:tRNA from 1 species
GUGGGCGUAGCUCAGUUGGUAGAGCGUCAGAUUGUGGCUCUGAAUGCCGCCGGUUCAAUCCCGGUCGCUCACCCCA